ACGCCGAUGGUGAAGUGGUUAUCAUGCUUGCCUUCCAUGUUGGUAGCAAGCGGCACGGGUUCGAUUCCCGUUCGGCGUA